rnacentral:rRNA from 1 species
AGAAUGAACGUUGGCGGCGUGGAUUAGGCAUGCAAGUCGCGCGCCCCGCAAGGGGAGCGGCGCAAGGGUGAGUAAGGCGACGGUAACCAACCCCACAAAUGGGCAUAGCCGAGGGAAACUUCGGGUAAUUCCCAGCGAAGUCGCGGAGGGGCAUCCCUCUGCGACCAAAGUUCCGGCGUUGUGGGACGGGCCGUCGUGGUAUUAGCUUGUUGGCGGGGUGACGGCCCACCAAGGCUACGAUGCCUACCGGGCGUGCGAGCGUGGCCCGGCACACUGGGACUGAGACACUGCCCAGACUCCUACGGGAGGCUGCAGUCGAGAAUCUUCGGCAAUGGGCGCAAGCCUGACCGAGCGACGCCGCGUGGAGGACGAAGGCCUUCGGGUUGUAAACUCCUGUCGAGGGGGAGGAAGGCGUAAGCUUGACCGAUCCCUGGAGGAAGCACGGGCUAAGUUCGUGCCAGCAGCCGC